rnacentral:rRNA from 1 species
AGUGAGGAAUUUUGCGCAAUGGGGGCAACCCUGACGCAGCAACGCCGCGUGAGUGAAGAAGGCCUUUGGGUCGUAAAGCUCUGUCAACAAGGAAGAAAUUAGGAUUUAUUAAUAGUGGGUCCUAUUGACGGUACUUGUGGAGGAAGCGCCGGCUAACUCCGUGCCAGCAGCCGCGGUAACACGGGGGGCGCAAGCGUUAUUCGGAAUUAUUGGGCGUAAAGGGCGCGCAGGCGGUCUUGUCCGUCAGGUGUGAAAGCCCGGGGCUCAACCCCGGAAGUGCACUUGAAACAGCAAGACUUGAAUACGGGAGAGGAGAGAGGAAUUCCUGGUGUAGAGGUGAAAUUCGUAGAUAUCAGGAGGAACACCGAUGGCGAAGGCAUCUCUCUGGACCGAUAUUGACGCUGAGGCGCGAAGGCGUGGGUAGCGAACGGGAUUAGAUACCCCGGUAGUCCACGCAGUAAACGUUGUACACUCGGUGUAGCGGAUAUUAAAAUCUGCUGUGCCUAAGCUAACGCAUUAAGUGUACCGCCUGGGAAGUACGGUCGCAAGACUA